UACGUAGGGGGCGAGCGUUGUCCGGAGUACUGGCGUAAGCGCACGCAGGCGGUCUGCUAAGUUUGGAGUGACAGUUGGUGGCUUAACUGCCAAGUGCUUCGAAACUGACAGACUUGAGGCUUCAGAGGGACACGGAAUUCCGGGUGGAGUGGUGAAAUGCGUAGAGAUCCGGAGGAACACCAAAGGCGAAGGCAGUGUCCUGGGAGUACCUGACGCUCAGGUGCGAAGCCAGGGAGCGAACGGG
rnacentral:rRNA from 1 species